ACGGGCUUCUCCUCCUUUGAAGUGGAAGGUACAACAGCAUCCGGUUUAGAUUUCUAAUAAUAGACCACAUGGUAUUUGGACAUGAAUUAAGGGUCUUACUGUCACCCAGGCUGGAGUACAGUGGAACGAUC